AGGUCCAGCCUGCCCAGUGACUCUGUUCAACGGCCGCGGUAUCCUAACCGUGCGAAGGUAGCGUAAUCACUUGUUCUUUAAAUGAGGACUAGUAUGAAUGGCACCACGAAGGUUAUACUGUCUCCUUUUUCUAAUCAGUGAAACUAAUCUUCCCGUGAAGAAGCGGGAAUAAAAAUAUAAGACGAGAAGACCCUAUGGAGCUUUAAACAAAUAUACACCUGCCUCUUUACCAAAAAUUUCAGAAGACAAGUAAUUACCCGGGCAUUUUGAUAUAGCGUUUUAGGUUGGGGUGACCGCGGAGCAAAAAAUAACCUCCGCAGCGAACGGGAGUAUCCCCUAAACCAAGGGCCACAACCCUAAGUAUUAAUAAAUUAACACUAAUUGACCCA
rnacentral:rRNA from 1 species